rnacentral:lncRNA from 1 species
AUGACCAGACAUGGAACUGACUUCCACAAAAAGGAUUCUGGCCCAUGUAGCUUGAUAAAUUUGGAAGCAGCCCUUUAUCUAAAGACAAUUUUAUGUGAAUUACGAAAGUAUGCCCUGCCAGACAAGAACUUGCCCGAAGAUGAACAACACUGUUCCAAGGAAACUGGGAGUGUUCCACCCUGUUCACUUCAGCACAACUGAUGGCCUAAGAAACACUAUCUGUUAACUAUUGGAGAGUUCCAUUUGGAUUACUGUG